UGUUAUUGUCAGAGGUAAUCAACAACAGCUGUGGGUGAGCACUUCUGGUUACAGGCUCUGAUGAUGUACACACUAUGAUCCUCCAUUAGUUUUCUCCUCCUUUAACCUGCUUCUAUAGGUAUGACAUAUGUGUGUGUUAUAUAUUUAGCUGUAGUUGUAUUUUUUGUGCAGGUGCAUUUAAUUGAUGAUGCUCCUAUUUUCUUUCACACCUCUCCCCCACAAGGGACACACAAUCAUUCGCUGUGCAACAGCGACACCCAGUGGCCUGUCAGGGCUGCUACCACAUUUACAUAAAUGGUGGGCAAACCGUUUGAGACCCAUUGAGAUAGCUUAGACUAAAGUUAACUCUAAACUCUGGGAGAGUCCUUUACCUCACUGAGCUGUAGUUAUCUGAACCUCUCAGUCUGACAGGAGAGGACUCUCCUCGACCUUGUUCUAGAAACAGAUCCUUUAUAUCCGUUAGCGCAGCUAGCUCCAGAUGCUAACAACAACAAUUCAAUUCAUUCAUGAGGUAUGACGCUCUGCUGUCCGUACGCUUCUCCAUGUUUGGGAUUGCAAGCACACGUGAUGCAUUCAGCCUCUGCAGCCUCUCUGCAGGACACACCCCGGAAGUAUCAUCGUGCAACACCUGGCAGAGAAGCAGCUUGAUGGCGCCGGUGUGGAUACACUUGUUGGCGUUUUACCUUCACUGCUAACAGCCUGCACAUUGUGCUAUCCCGUCAGCGUUGGUGAGUGCAGAGUUUCUGGACCAAACCUGAGGACAGCCGGGUUUCUUCACAUCAUCCUCGUCCUCUUCUUCCUCCACUCGUGGUAAAAGCACAUGUGAUGCAUUCAGCCUCUGCAGCCUCUCUGCAGGACACACCGCGGAAGUAUCAUCGUGCAACACCUGGCAGCGAAGCAGCGUGAUGGCGCCGGUGUGGAUACACUUGUUGGCGUUUUACCUUCACUGCUAACAGCCUGCACAUUGUGCUAUCCCGUCAGCGUUGGUGAGUGCAGAGUUUCUGGACCAAACCUGAGGACAGCCGGGUUUCUUCACAUCAUCCUCGUCCUCUUCUUCCUCCACUCGUGGGAAGAAAGACGUAUGACAUCUGGAAGCUCUCAAGAGGCCGGACUGUAACUCCCCCCUCGACGUUUCUCAGGACACGAACAUCAAAGCAGGCGGCAGAUAACGAUUUCACUUAAACACACACACACACAGAGCGCUGCAGCAGCCUCUAACCAGGGGGCUCUGCAGGAGGUUGGGUGACAAUGCUCUGCUGAAAACAUGCAGCUAAGUUAAGAGGGUAAAGAAUUACAGGAUGAAUUAAGGUUUUACUGCAGGAUAACAGGGGAGAUAAACAAGGAGUUCCCCUUUGAGUCUCCUGUGCAUUCUGUGAGGUUUUCUAUUUUCUUUCUAGUCAAUUUGGCACAUUUGUGUUUUUACCGUCUGCAUUGUUUCUCAAACUGCACCACGUUUGCACCUGUCGGCCACCGUAGAAUACCUUAAAGCUAUUUAAAGCCCACUCUAAUUGAAUUUCUUAAGAGAAAAUGGCAAGAUCUUAAUAUCAUUCUUAAUAAAAAACAUGACAGGGAAUGGUGCAUUUCCUGUUGAGCUUCUAUUGAGAACAUCUUCACAAUAUCUGGUGGCGUGGAUGGCUUUCUGCAUGGGGAAGCUGUUGGUUUGAAUCCCAACAAUGUAAUAAAGGUUGAAUAAUAUGAA